UGGGGAGUACUGUCGCAAGGCUGAAACUCAAAGGAAUUGGCGGGAUCCCGCACAAGCGGUGGAGCAUGCUCUUUAAUUGGUUGCUAACCCAAGAACCUUACCCAGACUUGACAUGUAUGUAGUAGUGAACCGAAAGGGGAACGAUCUUAAUUUAUUAAGAAGCAUACACAGGUGUUGCAUGGCUAUGCACCUCACACCUGAAAAGAAAAAAGAGGAAGACGAUGGCCCUUUAGCGAGUAAUUGCUAUCGAAUAAAUUGGCUAAUAACGGUGGAAUCCUAAUACAAAUUGAGAUAAUAUUUAUGUAUGGACAAUACCGUGGGAAGUCUAGGUAGUUUACUUAAUAAUCCACAUGAAUCUUACAUUCUUGGCUUAUGGGGCGCGGAUCGCUAUUUGCGAACGAGCAGCAUAGGUUUAAGUAAUACAAAUGUGAGGUUGAUUAAAAUCUUUUUGGAAUACCUAUUGGAAAGGUUUCCUAUUAGUAGAAUCAGAUUUCGCGUUUAUGGAGUUGAGGAUACCUCACUUACUAGUGGAUUUAAAGUGUCUUAUUGCAAAGGUUCCAAGAAUGUCUUGACUGCAUAUCAUAUUUAUGUAAAUUCAAGGCCUCUAGUAAGAGAAUUUUUAUUUUCUCUUAGAAACAGGAACUUUCUUGCUAAAGAUUGUAUUUAUGCUUAUUUUGCAGGGAGAUUUGAUGGUGAUGGCUCUUUAUCUUUAGAUAAGAAGAUUUGUUGAUUGAUCAAUAUCUGCUUACAAAUAUAAAUACUUCGGUUUAUGAAUACGGGUCUGCAAGAACCUAUUGUAUGUACUUUAAAAAGAGUACAUUAAGUAAUUUUCUUGAACAGAUAAGACCUUAUUCCAUAUCCGGUAAACUAUAAUGACCCCGUAUCGACUUCUCCUGUGUUUAUACACUGGAGGGAUGGAAGAACCUCUCAUUAGAAUGAGUAAAGGGCUUUCAUAAAACGCCAGUCUCCCAAAACAUAAUUUGGGAUGAUGAUAUAGUCAGUGCCAUUAGGAAUAGUGGAGAUUACACAUGGUCGUCAGCUCGUACCGUGAGGCGUACCCUUAAGUGGGUUAACGAGCGCAACCCCUACUGCUAGUUGUAUCACUCUAGCGGAACUGCUAUCGUAAGAUGGAGGAAGGUGGGGACGACGUCAAGUCGGUAUUGCCCUUAUGUCUGGGGCCAGAAGCAUGCUACAAUGGCGCGUACAAAAAGUUGCAAUGCAGUGAUGCGGAGCCAAUCUUUAAAGCGCGUCCCAGUUCGGAUUGAAGUCUGCAAUUCGGCUUCAUGAAGUUGGAAUCGCUAGUAAUCGUCGGUCAGCGAUACGACGGUGAAUACGUUCUCGGGAUUUGCACACACUGCCCGUCACAUCAGCAAAGCUAAGGUCACCUGAAGUACCUCUUUUAAGGGGUCCCAUGGUGAAAUUAGUGAUGAUGGUGAAGUCGUAACAAGGUAGCCGUAGGGGAAUCUGCGGCUG
rnacentral:rRNA from 1 species